GGCACAUUCUGGUGCACGAAGGUAUAAAUAUGCUCCAUGUUUUAAUAAAACACAACUGCUUUCCCACCGGAGAACCAAGCUUCCCAGAAGUGUCGAGCAGAAAGGGGGAACAGAACCAAACCUGGUGACUCUUCUCCAGAAGGAGACCCUAGGGGGUUAAAAGGCCGCUUUCCUUAAUCCAAAGAAUUUGCCAGGAGGCACCGGAAGGCACCAGUAUCGCGGAAGCCCACCGGGAACCCGAAACCCAGCCGAAACCCAGCCGGCCGUCAUUAAAAGCCACUCCGAGUCACCAGAGAAUAACCAGCACCCCUUUCGCCCUCCCGACGCCACUCGCCGCCCCCAUCCAUUUUCGCAGCAGUCUCAGACUCGUCCCCAACCCCAGCCCGGAGACUUUCACUUUGUCCCAUGCCUCCCGAGCACUCCUCCCCGCCCCGGUGGGGGCAGCUUCUGGCUCCAAGCCCCCACCUCGGGGCUCCCAGCCUGGUCCCUCGCGGCCGACCCCAGCAGCCACAGGCAUCCUACGCUGCGUGCACACAGCAUAUCACCGGGAAAGACGGAGCGGAAAGAUGGCCCUGCCCUCAAGGAGCUGCAGUCUGCCCAGGAAGGCAGACAGGGGACAGAAAAGCAGGCAGAUCUGCAAGUAAGCAAACUACAGUUCCCUGCAGAAGACACAGAGGCAGUGAGUAAGAGGAACAGACCCAUGUGAAGACACAGAGCAGCAGACGAAAAAGACACAUCCUAAAUGUUAAAGGUGGGUCUCUCUGUUCUCCUGAGCCUGGGUAGACCUUUGUAACUGUCUUGACCAACAGAAUGUGACAGAAUGAUACCAGGUGACUUCUAAGACUACGUCAUACAAAGCAAUGCAGCUUCUGCUGGGCUCUCCUUCUCUGGACAUGUAUCUUUGAAGCCCUGAGUCCGGCUUGCCUGAGACCACCAGGGAUGGAGAAAUGCUACAGAAGCCCUAGCUAUUCUAGUCCCCAGCCAUCUGAGUCUUCCUAGCCCAGAAUCGUAAGUGAAGAAGCCUUCAAGAUGAUUCAAAUACCACCUGUCACUUGACUACAACCUCGGAAAGCCCAAGUCAGAGCUGCACAGUGAAGCCAUUCCUAAAUUCUUGUCCCACAGAAACUGUGAAAGAUAAUAAAUGAUCAUCAUUGUUUUAA